rnacentral:piRNA from 1 species
UGUGUUCUCUAAACAAUCUGAUACAGGC